rnacentral:rRNA from 1 species
UACAGAGGGUGCAAGCGUUAUUCGGAGUUAUUGGGCGUAAAGAGCGCGUAGGUGGUUCGAUAAGUUUGGUGUGAAAUCCCUGGACUCAAUCCAGGAAGUGCAUUGAAUACUGUCGAACUAGAGUACAGGAGAGGUAAGCGGAAUUCCAGGUGUAGAGGUGAAAUUCGUAGAUAUCUGGAGGAACAACAGUGGCGAAGGCGGCUUACUGGACUGUAACUGACACUGAGGCGCGAAAGCGUGGGGAGCAAACAGG